GUGGGGCUCCGACUGGCCGGGGUGGAUCACGUGUCCACGCCGUGCGGCUGGUGGAAGGGGUGGCCUGACCUGACCCACAGGGCCCUGAGAGCACGGGAGGGGUGCUUUUCCCAAAGAACAGGAGGGCGCUGUUACAGCCUAGGAAGCGGAAGUACAUGCUGGCCGAGGAAGAAGCCAGCGCUCACGCCGGACAUCCGGGGUCCAGAGGGAGACCCCCCGCAGGUCUGCGGUCCUCAGGGAAGGGCCCCUGGGGCCAGCGCGCUCCAGGCCUCCCCCUGCCCCGACGUCCUCGCAGGAGCCCUGCCCGGCCCUCGGAAGAUCAGAGGCCUGGAUUUGUGGCCUGGAGUUCUACACCCCCUGCACUGAUGUCCGCGUUUUAUGGAGUGAGGAGAUGUGCUCAGAGACAUCAAGUCACCAAUCCCUGGUCACACAGCACCUCCACGGUUCGUGCCUAAGCGAAACUCCCGCAUGUGCCCCAGGCGCUGUGACCAGGAGUGGGCGUGGCAGCCGUGUUCACCGCAGCAAAACCUGGAGCCAACCGAGACCUCGCGGGAAGGAGCGUGGAGGGGAAACCGAGUCUCCGAGAUUGAUGGACUUGCCCGAGUGUCCAGUGGCUUGGAACUGGGGCCUCGGUGCAGGUCUGUGCUGUCACUGGACCUCCCGGGGCGUGGGCAGGGUCACUCCGCACAUCCAGGCCCAGGUCUCCUGGGAUUUCCAACAACAGUCCAGUUCGAGAUGUCUCGGUCUCUUCUGUGAAUGGCCUGGCUGGACGGGCUGUUGUUUUCUUGAAGUCUCCAAGAGACGAGGUCACAAGGCUCAGAGAGGUGAAGACAUCACCCAAGGCCCCCAGCAGACGUAAGAUUCAUACCUACCUCACCUCCUCCAGGAGGCCCUCUGUGCUUGCUGCAUUGCCUUCACUCCGACAGAACUUGGGGGCUUAGGGGCACAUCCCCAGGGCUCGUGUGUCUUCUAACACAGCUCCGUGGGCUGUCAGCCCCUCACAGGCAGAGCCCAAACGUCCACUGCUUUUUACGUCUCUUCCCAUACCUCCCUGCUUCUCCCCCAUCAACACAAGGUGGGCGCACACCGGACCUCCUGUGGGUCCACUGGAUGUGAGUGGGCAGGGUAGACCGCCCUGGGGCUCAUGCAGAAGACCCCCCUGAGAACUGGCCCCUUUUCGUCCUCACCUCAAAGUGGCCUGGGGCCGAGAUGCCCAGCUGAGACCAGGAAGCCCCGCCUCCCAGACAUUGACUUGACUGACAGCACCUGCCGCGCGGGGCGGGGCCGGAGCCCUGCCUGGGUGGACACACCCCGAACCGCCUACAGCCUUUCUCGUGGUGUUAUCGUCCCUUUUUACAGGGUCUCAGUUUACUUCCCUGUGAAAUGGGCGGUAAUGAGCUAAAGGGCCUGAGACAAAUCAUCUGGCUUCUGUGGGGGCAGCGGUUGCCUUUGAUGGUUCAGCGUCAGCUCCUCCAUCUCGGGAGAAACGGUUCUCUUCUUUCGGCUUGGCACCUGCAGACCCGGUGAGGCUGACUCCUCCCACGCCACUCCUGGAAGAGCACGUGACCAAACCCGGCCAAUGAGAUGGUUUCAUCCCCUGGUCAGCGUCACUGGGGAGAGGGUGGCCGGUGAUCCAGUGGGGUUCAGUGAGAUUCAGUGUGGGAACCAGCAAGGACGGGGCAUCUUUCUGCUGAGUUGGGAAGCAGAGGGGACGUGGGCCCGGUGUCCUUUGCCUCAUGAGGGGAGAGCUCCCUUGGGAACGAAACCAGCCCAGAAGAAACAGGAAAUGAGUCCUGACGGGGUCGUUUUGAGCGCCUGGAUCCAGCUAUGCCUGAAGCUUGUGCAAAUUCCGGACUUUACUGUAACACGAGCCACUAAAUACUCGUUGUUGCUUCAGUCACCUCGAAUUGGGAUCCUGUCACUGGAAACCAAGGGCCCUGACCGGUUGAUGAUGGAUGGCGCUCGGCCUCGUGGGCCGAAAUGGAAAAUUCUCGGCUGUCUGGUCGGUCCCUUCAUGCUGGCCCAGGCCCAGAAAGCUGUCGGUGAGCAGAACCUGGUAAGAUUCCAAGCCCGCCGACUUUUUCUGGAAAGGGCCAAAUAGUAAAUGCUUCAGGCCUCGUGGGCUGUGGAGGUCUCUGCUUCA